GGGCACGCCCGCCGGAGGUUCAAAACUCUUAUUUUUUCCAGUAUCUCUGAGCCUGAAAGACAAAUAAUCAAAACUUUCAACAACGGAUCUCUUGGUUCUGGCAUCGAUGAAGAACGCAGCGAAAUGCGAUAAGUAAUGUGAAUUGCAGAAUUCAGUGAAUCAUCGAAUCUUUGAACGCACAUUGCGCCCGCCGGUAUUCCGGCGGGCAUGCCUGUUCGAGCGUCAUUUCAACCCUCAAGCCUCGGCUUGGUGUUGGGGCGCCCGGGCCCUCCGCGGCCCGGGGCCCCCAAGUUCAUCGGCGGGCUCGUCGGUACACUGAGCGCAGUAAAACGCGGUAAAACGCGAACCUCGUUCGGAUCGUCCCGGCGUGCUCCAGCCGCUAAACCCCCAAUUUUUUAAAGGUUGACCUCGGAUCAGGUAGGAAUACCCGCUGAACUUAAGCAUAUCAAUA
rnacentral:rRNA from 1 species